rnacentral:lncRNA from 1 species
UUCCAAGGGAACCAGGCCUCAGCAUCAGGCCUGUUCUGCCCUGGCCUCAGAUUGCACCGCUACACCAGCAUGAUUCUACCCGAUCCUAUUAGUCACAAGGGAGCCACAGGCCAGCCUGGGUUCCCAGGGAUGGAGAGACUCCGCUUCUGCAUGGGGGAAUGACGCGGUCAUACUGCAGAAGAACACGAGUGUAGGAGGCAGUGUCGUGGCCAUUUUCGGUAAACACAACCUGCUGCUCACCCGCCUUGCCCAAGUCUACCUCUUCCAGAAACUUCUGUGUCCCAAUUAGGGUUCACCUUGAGGUCCUAAAGUGCGUUUCUCUUCUACAACUCUCUUUUUGGGGAUGUCGCCAAUAAUCUAUAUUUCAACAAGAUGGAUAAAGCUGUGAAAAGGAUCAGAUUCUGCCCAGGACUUCAAGUAUGUGACCUCAGCAGAACUGACCAAUACAUUACUGGAGCAGAAUAAUCAGUCUUGAAAUAAACCCAUGGAUAAAGGAUGGA